CACAACUCACCUUCAUGCUUCUUCUUCCUCAUUGUGAGGGCUCACCAAGCUCUGACCUGCAUCUCUUUCUCACAUCUUGCUCACGGUUCUCCUGACCCACUCUAGUGAUUCUGCUUCUCGAUCUGCUCCUAACAAAGAAGGAGGAAAGGCACUGACUCUCCCAUGGCUUGAUUGAUCCACUUGAGAAGGAUUAUGGAUAUUGAUUUUGCGAACUUAUCUGAUUGAUUGGUUUUCGUCUCGUGUUUUUGGACUUGUUGGUGGAAAAGCUAAGCCUUUGAAGAAACCACAGUCCGAUAAGAAGGAUUACGAUGAGGUUAUAUGGCUGCCCUUUAGUUUUUUAUUGGAGUGCUGAUGAGCUUUUUUUAAAGAAUAGGCAGCAAGUAGCAACUUUAAUUUUUAUCUGUGAACAAGAUUAGCAUCUGAUUCAAAUCCUAAAUACCGAAAGAGUAGAAAGUCGUUUCAAUCUCUAAAGGAAAAGCUGUUGAAGAUGAUGCUUUAAAAGCACAAGUUGCUGAGAUAGAUGUUUUGAAGGAACAACUUGCUUUCCUUAUGCAAGUUCAUAAAAAAAAUGGGGU